ACUCCUACGGGAGGCAGCAGUAGGGAAUAUUGGACAAUGGGCGGAAAGCCUGAUCCAGCAAUGCCGCGUGAGUGAUGAAGGCCUUAGGGGUUGUAAAGCUCUUUUACCCGGGAUGAUAAUGACAGUACCGGGAGAAUAAGCUCCGGCUAACUCCGUGCCAGCAGCCGCGGUAAUACGGAGGGAGCUAGCGUUGUUCGGAAUUACUGGGCGUAAAGCGCACGUAGGCGGCUAUUCAAGUCAGAGGUGAAAGCCCGGGGCUCAACCCCGGAACUGCCUUUGAAACUAGAUAGCUUGAAUCCAGGAGAGGUGAGUGGAAUUCCGAGUGUAGAGGUGAAAUUCGUAGAUAUUCGGAAGAACACCAGUGGCGAAGGCGGCUCACUGGACUGGUAUUGACGCUGAGGUGCGAAAGCGUGGGAGCAAACAGGAUUAGAUACCCUGGUAGACUGUCA
rnacentral:rRNA from 1 species